UACGAAGGGGGCGAGCGUUGUUCGGAAUUACUGGGCGUAAAGGGCGCGCAGGCGGCCUCUUGAAGUCAGAUGUGAAAGCCCCGGGCUCAACCUGGGAAUGGCCGUUGAAACUGGCGAACUGGAGUGUGGCAGAGGGGGGUGGAAUUCCGCGUGUAGCAGUGAAAUGCGUAGAGAUGCGGAGGAACACCGAUGGCGAAGGCAGCCCCCUGGGCUGACACUGACGCUCAGGCACGAAAGCGUGGGGAGCAAACAGG
rnacentral:rRNA from 1 species